rfam:Heligmosomoides polygyrus genome assembly, scaffold: HPBE_scaffold0000083
GAAAAGAAACUAACAAGGAUUCCCUUAGUAACGGCGAGUGAAUGGGGA